UCGUUUAAAGCCAUUACGUCAGCAUCCUUAGCGAACCGCUGGCUUGCCUGUUCCGGUGCCUGCCGCUCCCGCGUCCGCUAGCACGCUAUCGAACGAGGGUGGCCGAGCAGGGUUCGGUGCCGCGCCCCCGAGGGGGGUGUCCGCUGCAAUCCUCAGUCCCGCGCAGCUCAUCUGCCCGGUCUAUAACACUCCCCGAAGAGAGUUACCUUACCCGAGCCUUUUCAC
rnacentral:rRNA from 1 species